rnacentral:siRNA from 1 species
CUUUGCAUUCGGGCAAAAC